rnacentral:lncRNA from 1 species
CCUUAAUGGCAUGGAUUAACUUGAAUCACUCAGUGAUCUAAUCAAAAAUAUAAUUCACCAAAUUUGCCAGGUAAGUGAGAUCGGUGGAAGGGUCUGCUAAGCUUGCCUUAGACACCAUCAAAAUGAUCAGGUAAGCCGCUCUCAAUUAAAAAUUAUUGAUCGAAAUGUCAAAUUUAUCUUAGACACCAAUUGAUUAAUUAGUUUUGAUAUGACCAACCUAAUGAUUUGGAUUCAACCACUGAGCCAUAAUUAAGAUCCAUUUGGUCU